rnacentral:snoRNA from 1 species
ACAUGAGUCUGUCUCUCAGUGUCCCUUGCCUGCGCAGGCUGUCACCCCAAACCACUGUCUGGUCCCUGUGCCAGGAAGCUAUGGGUACUGACGUGGGUUGCAUGGUG